UGGCGGUAUGCUUAACACAUGCAAGUCGAACGGUAACAGCUCUAGCUUGCUAGAAGAUGACGAGCGGCGGACGGGUGAGUAACGCGUAGAAAUCUACCUAGUAGUGGGGGAUAGCCCAGAGAAAUUUGGAUUAAUACCGCAUACGCCCUACGGGGGAAAGCGGGGGAUCUUCGGACCUCGUGCUAUUAGAUGAGUCUGCGUCGGAUUAGCUUGUUGGUGAGGUAAUGGCUCACCAAGGCGACGAUCCGUAGCUGGUCUGAGAGGAUGACCAGCCACACUGGAACUGAGACACGGUCCAGACUCCUACGGGAGGCAGCAGUGGGGAAUAUUGCACAAUGGGCGCAAGCCUGAUGCAGCCAUGCCGCGUGUGUGAAGAAGGCCUUAGGGUUGUAAAGCACUUUCAGCAGUGAGGAAAGGGGUGUCGUUAAUAGCGCCAUCCUGUGACGUUAACUGCAGAAGAAGGACCGGCUAACUCCGUG
rnacentral:rRNA from 1 species